GACGAACGCUGGCGGCGUGCUUAACACAUGCCAGUCGAACGGAAAGGCCCUGCUUUUGUGGGGUGCUCGAGUGGCGAACGGGUGAGUAACACGUGAGUAACCUGCCCUUGACUUUGGGAUAACUUCAGGAAACUGGGGCUAAUACCGGAUAGGAGCUCCUGCUGCAUGGUGGUGGUUGGAAAGUUUCGGCGGUUGGGGAUGGACUCGCGGCUUAUCAGCUUGUUGGUGGGGUAGUGGCUUACCAAGGCUUUGACGGGUAGCCGGCCUGAGAGGGUGACCGGCCACAUGGGGACUGAGAUAGGGCCCAGACUCCUACGGGAGGCAGCAGUGGGGAAUAUUGCACAAUGGGCGGAAGCCUGAUGCAGCAGCGCCGCGUGCGGGAUGACGGCCUUCGGGUUGUAAACCGCUUUCGCCUGUGACGAAGCGUGAGUGACGGUAAUGGGUAAAGAAGCACCGGCUAACUACGUG
rnacentral:rRNA from 1 species